UUGAUCCUGGCUCAGAAUCAACGCUGGCGGCGUGCCUAACACAUGCAAGUCGAGCGAGAAAGUGUAGCAAUACAUGAGUACAGCGGCGCACGGGUAAGUUACACGUGGGUAAUCUGCCCUAGAGUGGGGAAUAACACCGGGAAACCGGUUCUAAUACCGCAUACGAUCACGAUGUCUGCGGACGUUGUGAUGAAGGGAGUAAUUCGCUCUUGGAGGAGCCCGCGGCUGAUUAGCUAGUUGGUAAGGUAAUGGCUUACCAAGGCUACGAUCAGUAUCCGGUCUGAGAGGACGGUCGGACAUACUGGAACUGAGACACGGUCCAGACUCCUACGGGAGGCAGCAGUGGGGAUUUUUUCGCAAUGGGGGCAACCCUGACGAAGCAACGCCGCGUGGGUGAUGUAGUAUCUCGGUACGUAAAACCCUUUCGACGGGGAAGAAAACCGCAAGGUUUGACGGUACCCGUAGAAGAAGCCCCGGCUAACUCCGUGCCAGCAGCCGCUGUAAU
rnacentral:rRNA from 1 species